rnacentral:tRNA from 1 species
GUGCCCUUAGCUCAGCUGGAUAGAGUGUCUGACUACGAAUCAGAAGGUCGGGAGUUCGAAUCUCUCAGGGCACG